GGCGUGCCUAAUACAUGCAAGUCGAGCGCAGGAAACUGACGGAACUCUUCGGAGGGAAGGCAGCGGAAUGAGCGGCGGACGGGUGAGUAACACGUAAGGAACCUGCCUCAAGGAUUGGGAUAACUCCGAGAAAUCGGAGCUAAUACCGGAUAGUUCAUCGGACCGCAUGGUCCGUUGAUGAAAGGCGCUUCGGCGUCACCUUGAGAUGGCCUUGCGGUGCAUUAGCUAGUUGGUGGGGUAACGGCCCACCAAGGCGACGAUGCAUAGCCGACCUGAGAGGGUGAUCGGCCACACUGGGACUGAGACACGGCCCAGACUCCUACGGGAGGCAGCAGUAGGGAAUCUUCCACAAUGGACGAAAGUCUGAUGGAGCAACGCCGCGUGAGUGAUGAAGGUUUUCGGAUCGUAAAACUCUGUUGUAAGGGAAGAACACGUACGAGAGGAAAUGCUCGUACCUUGACGGUACCUUACGAGAAAGCCACGGCUAACUACGUGCCAGCAGCCGCGGUAAUACGUAGGUGGCAAGCGUUGUCCGGAAUUAUUGGGCGUAAAGCGCGCGCAGGCGGCCUUUUAAGUCUGAUGUGAAAGCCCCCGGCUCAACCGGGGAGGGCCAUUGGAAACUGGAAGGCUUGAGUACAGAAGAGAAGAGUGGAAUUCCACGUGUAGCGGUGAAAUGCGUAGAGAUGUGGAGGAACACCAGUGGCGAAGGCGACUCUUUGGUCUGUAACUGACGCUGAGGCGCGAAAGCGUGGGGAGCAAACAGGAUUAGAUACCCUGGUAGUCCACGCCGUAAACGAUGAGUGCUAGGUGUUGGGGGGUUUCCGCCCCUCAGUGCUGAAGCUAACGCAUUAAGCACUCCGCCUGGGGAGUACGGCCGCAAGGCUGAAACUCAAAGGAAUUGACG
rnacentral:rRNA from 1 species